rnacentral:rRNA from 1 species
GACGAACGCUGGCGGCGUGCUUAACACAUGCAAGUCGAACGGAAAGGCCCUGCUUGCAGGGUACUCGCGUGGCGAACGGGUGAGUGACACGUGGGUGAUCUGCCCUCCACUUCGGGGUAAGCCUGGGGAGCUGGGGCGAAUACCCGGGAGAGGCCAUCUUGAGUGUGAUGGGUGGAAGGAUUUUUCGGUGUAGGGUGAGCUCACGGCCUAUCAGCUUGUUGGUGGGGUGAUGGGCUACCUAGGCGGCGGCUGGUAGGCGGCCUGGGAGGGUGGACGGCCACAUUGGGACCUGGAUACGGCCCCGACUCCUACGGGAGGCAGCAGUGGGGAAAAUUGGCCAAUGGGCGGGAGCCUGAUGCAGCGACGCCGCGGGGGGGAUGACGGGCUUUGGGGUGUAAACUCCUUUCGCUAGGGACGAAGCUUUGUGUGACGGUACUGAGAUAAGAAGCACCGGCUAACUACGUG